rnacentral:rRNA from 1 species
UACGUAGGGUGCAAGCGUUGUCCGGAAUUAUUGGGCGUAAAGAGCUCGUAGGCGGUUUGUCGCGUCGGCUGUGAAAACUCGGGGCUCAACUCCGAGCUUGCAGUCGAUACGGGCAGACUAGAGUUCGGCAGGGGAGACUGGAAUUCCUGGUGUAGCGGUGAAAUGCGCAGAUAUCAGGAGGAACACCAGUAGCGAAGGCGGCUCGCUGGGCCGUUCCUGACGCUGAGACGCGAAAGCUAGGGGAGCGAACAGG